UACGUAGGGGGCUAGCGUUGUCCGGAAUCAUUGGGCGUAAAGCGCGCGUAGGCGGCCAGAUAAGUCCGGUGUGAAAGUCACAGGCUCAACCUGUGAAUGCCGCUGGAAACUGUCUGGCUUGAGUCCGGAAGGGGCGAGUGGAAUUCCUGGUGUAGCGGUGAAAUGCGCAGAUAUCGAGAGGAACACCUGCGGCGAAGGCGGGUUGCUGGGCUGAUACUGACGCUGAGGCGCGAAAGCCAGGGGAGCGAACGGG
rnacentral:rRNA from 1 species